CCAGACUCCUACGGGAGGCAGAAGUGGGGAAUAGUGCACAGUAGGCAAAAGCCUGAUGCAGCGACGCCACGUGAGGGAUGAGGCCUUCAGGUUGUAAACCUCUUUCAGUAGGGAAGAAGCGAAAGUGACGGUACCUGCAGAAGAAGGGCCGGAUAACUACGUGCCAGCAGACGCGGUAAUACGUAAGGGGCAAGCGUUAUCCGGAAUUAUUGGGGAUAAAGAGCUCGUAGGGGGUAUGUCGCGUCUGCCGAGAAAGUACGGGGCUCAACUCCAGAGCUGCGGCGGGUACGGGCAGGGAAGAGUGAUGUAGGGGAGACUGGAAUUCCUGGUGUAGCGGUGAAAUGCGCAGAUAUCAGGAGGAACACCGAUGGCGAAGGCAGGUCUCUGGGCAUUAACUGACGCUGAGGAGCGAAAGCAUGGGGAGCGAACAGGAUUAGAUACCCUGGUAGUCCAUGCCGUAAACGUUGGGCACUAGGUGUGGGGGACAUUCCACGUUUUCCGCGCCGUAGCUAACGCAUUAAGUGCCCCGCCUGGGGAGUACGGCCGCAAGGCUAAAACUCAAAGGAAUUGACGGGGGCCCGCACAAGCGGCGGAGCAUGCGGAUUAAUUCGAUGCAACGCGAAGAACCUUACCAAGGCUUGACAUGGGCCGGAUCGCCGCAGAGAUGUGGUUUCUCCUUUUGGGGCCGGUUCACAGGUGGUGCAUGGUUGUCGUCAGCUCGUGUCGUGAGAUGUUGGGUUAAGUCCCGCAACGAGCGCAACCCUCGUUCCAUGUUGCCAGCACGUAGUGGUGGGGACUCAUGGGAGACUGCCGGGGUCAACUCGGAGGAAGGUGGGGACGACGUCAAAUCAUCAUGCCCCUUAUGUCUUGGGCUUCACGCAUGCUACAAUGGCCGGUACA
rnacentral:rRNA from 1 species